rnacentral:rRNA from 1 species
UACGAAGGGGGCUAGCGUUGCUCGGAAUCACUGGGCGUAAAGCGCACGUAGGCGGCUUCUUAAGUCAGGGGUGAAAUCCUGGAGCUCAACUCCAGAACUGCCUUUGAUACUGGCGAUCUCGAGUCCGGAAGAGGUGAGUGGAACUGCGAGUGUAGAGGUGAAAUUCGUAGAUAUUCGCAAGAACACCAGUGGCGAAGGCGGCUCACUGGCCCGGUACUGACGCUGAGGUGCGAAAGCGUGGGGAGCAAACAGG